UACGUAGGGUCCGAGCGUUGUCCGGAAUUACUGGGCGUAAAGAGCUCGUAGGUGGUUUGUCACGUUGUUCGUGAAAACCCACAGCUCAACUGUGGGCGUGCGAGCGAUACGGGCAGACUAGAGUACUGCAGGAGAGACUGGAAUUCCUGGUGUAGCGGUGGAAUGCGCAGAUAUCAGGAGGAACACCGAUGGCGAAGGCAGAUCUCUGGGCCGUAACUGACGCUGAGGAGCGAAAGCAUGGGGAGCGAACAGG
rnacentral:rRNA from 1 species